GGUUGGUCCGAGUGCAGUAGUAUUUACAACUAAUUGAUCACAACCAGUUACAGAUUCCUUUGUUCAUUCUCCACUCCCACUGCUUCACUUGACCAGCCUUUA
rnacentral:Y_RNA from 1 species